GGGCAAGGAUGGUAGUAGCAUCUUUGGAAAAAACAGGGAAAGGAGGGUGGGGAGAUGUCAAAUCUAUUAAAACAUGGAAGCGACUUGAUGAUGAACAUCUUACAACCAUCGAUACUCAGGUUCUUUGGAGCAAGAGGUCUGCCGGUGCUCGUAGAAAAAAGCCUAUCGGUCACCACUAAAGAAUUUUAUUACUGAAGCAUGAUCACAAAUUGGUAGCAGAAGCCUAUUCUUCAACUUGCAUCUACUGGAAAGGUUUAUACUUGUUGUAUGGGUUAUUUACUUAGGGUCAAAAGUUAAUGUGUAAUGUUAAAGGUGAUGUAGGAGCAAGCAAUAUAUAUGUAGGUCACAUUCAGAGAAUGAGAUAAGGACCCACUUAUGUAGUAAAGAAAGAUUGAUAUAGUUCGAAACUCGCCUCUCUACUUCCUCAAGUAGGGCAAGGUACGUGUACACUUUAUCCUCCCGAGAUUUAUUGUUGUUGUAUGUUUGCUGUUGUACUAGAAAAACGUGAACUAUUCUGUUGUACCGAUGUUGUGCCUUUCUCAUAUUUUUUUUCCAUAUGAUUAUUC
rnacentral:misc_RNA from 1 species